UACGGGGGGAGCAAGCGUUGUUCGGAUUUACUGGGCGUAAAGGGCGCGUAGGCGGCCAGCACAAGUCAGUUGUGAAAUCUCCGAGCUUAACUCGGAAAGGUCAACUGAUACUGCGGGGCUAGAGUGCGGAAGGGGCAACUGGAAUUCUCGGUGUAGCGGUGAAAUGCGUAGAUAUCGAGAGGAACACCUGCGGCGAAGGCGGGUUGCUGGGCCGACACUGACGCUGAGGCGCGAAAGCCAGGGGAGCGAACGGG
rnacentral:rRNA from 1 species